GAAGAAAGUGCAUAGAAUGUUUGGGAAGAAAAUUCAGCCACAGGUACAUAGGGGAGGCAGGAGAUGUGGGGUGCUUCGGUUGGAGGUACUCAACUGCGGUGAAGCAUGCAGAGCUUAAGUGGGCGGAGAAAGGGCCUCGCCGGAGAGGAGAGAGAGCCCCACGGAGAGGGUGCGGCGGCGGUGGCGGUGGGGUAACGAACUCCAUGAGUAUGAUGUCGGCAAGUCAGAGCCCAUGGGCACCGGCCACAACCAGUGUGGAUAUUUCCGCCGUUUACAGCUCUCGUUUCGCCGCCAUGUCGUCCCCUCAUUCUCCGGCUCACCGCCACCAUUUACCGUUUUAGUUUCAUCGUUUCGCCAAUUCCUUAUAUUCAUAUUGUAUUAUUUUGACGUUUAAAUCUAUUUAUCCGUUUUAUGUUAGAAUUGGAUAUUGGAGGAUUUAGUUGGUGUCUCAAAUAAAAUAAUUAAAUUAACUAAAUUUAAGAU